UACGAAGGGAGCUAGCGUUGUUCGGAAUCACUGGGCGUAAAGCGCACGUAGGCGGAUGUGUCAGUCAGGGGUGAAAUCCCGGAGCUCAACUUCGGAACUGCCCUUGAUACAGCACAUCUUGAGUCCGGAAGAGGUGGGUGGAAUUCCUAGUGUAGAGGUGAAAUUCGUAGAUAUUGGGAAGAACACCGGUGGCGAAGGCGGCUCACUGGCUCGUAACUGACGCUCAGGCGCGACAGCGUGGGGAUCAAACAGG
rnacentral:rRNA from 1 species